rnacentral:rRNA from 1 species
GACAGAGGUGCCGAGCGUUAGGCGGAAUCACUGGGCUUAAAGCGCGUGUAGGCGGACCGUUAAGUGCCCGUGUGAAAUCCCCCGGCUCAACCGGGGAACGGCCGGGCAUACUGGCGGUCUUGGGCCACCCAGGGGUCACCGGAACAGGCGGUGGAGCGGUGAAAUGCGUAGAUAUCAAGAGGAACACCGGUGGCGAAGGCGGCAUCCUGGACCGAGAUCGACGCUGAGGCGCGAAAGCUAGGGGAGCAAACGGG